UUGCUUUGGCAGCACGUAUACCAAAAUUGGAAAAAUACAGAGAUGAUUAGCAUGGCCUCUGUGCAAGGAUGACACGUAAAUUCGUGAAGCAUUCCAUCUAUUU